rnacentral:rRNA from 1 species
CCUACGGGAGGCAGCAGUGAGGAAUAUUGGUCAAUGGACGAGAGUCUGAACCAGCCAAGUAGCGUGAAGGAUGACUGCCCUAUGGGUUGUAAACUUCUUUUAUAAAGGAAUAAAACGAGGCACGUGUGCCUUUUUGCAUGUACUUUAUGAAUAAGGAUCGGCUAACUCCGUGCCAGCAGCCGCGGUAAUACGGAGGAUCCGAGCGUUAUCCGGAUUUAGUGGGUUUAAAGGGAGAGUAGAUGGGGUGUUAAGUCAGUUGUGAAAGUUUGCGGCUCAACCGUAAAAUUGCAAUUGAUACUGGUAGUGUUGAGUACAGUUGAGGUAGGCGGAAUUCGUGGUGUAGCGGUGAAAUGCUUAGAUAGCACGAAGAACCCCGAGUGCGAAGGCAGCUUACUAAACUGUGACUGACAUUGAUGCUCGAAAGUGUGGGUAUCAAACAGGAUUAGAUACCCUAGUAGUC